rnacentral:rRNA from 1 species
UACAGAGAUCUCAAGCGUUGUUCGGAUUCAUUGGGCGUAAAGGGUGCGUAGGCGGCGCGGUAAGUCGGGUGUGAAAUCUCGGAGCUUAACUCCGAAACUGCAUUCGAUACUGCCGUGCUUGAGGACUGGAGAGGAGACUGGAAUUUACGGUGUAGCGGUGAAAUGCGUAGAUAUUGGGAGGAACACCAGUGGCGAAGGCGGCUACCUGGACCGGAACUGACGCUGAUGCGCGAAAGCGUGGGGAGCAAACAGG